rnacentral:rRNA from 1 species
UACGUAGGGGGCUAGCGUUGUCCGGAAUCAUUGGGCGUAAAGAGCGUGUAGGCGGUCCGGUAAGUCCGCUGUGAAAGUCGGGGGCUCAACCCUCGAAUGCCGGUGGAUACUGUCGGGCUAGAGUGCGGAAGAGGCGAGUGGAAUUCCUGGUGUAGACGGUGAAAUGCGCAGAUAUCAGGAGGAACACCAAUGGCGAAGGCAGCACUCUGGGACGUGACUGGACGCUGAAGACGCGAAAGCGUGGGGAGCAAACAGG